GACGAACGCUGGCGGCGUGCUUAACACAUGCAAGUCGAACGGAAAGGCCCUGCUUUUGUGGGGUGCUCGAGUGGCGAACGGGUGAGUAACACGUGAGUAACCUGCCCUUGACUUUGGGAUAACUUCAGGAAACUGGGGCUAAUACCGCAUAGGAGCUCCUGCUGCAUGGUGGGGGUUGGAAAGUUUCGGCGGUUGGGGAUGGACUCGCGGCUUAUCAGCUUGUUGGUGGGGUAGUGGCUUACCAAGGCUUUGACGGGUAGCCGGCCUGAGAGGGUGACCGGGCACAUUGGGACUGAGAGACGGCCCAGACUCCUACGGGAGGCAGCAGUGGGGAAUAUUGCACAAUGGGCGGAAGCCUGAUGCAGCAACGCCGCGUGCGGGAUGACGGCCUUCGGGUUGUAAACCGCUUUCGCCUGUGACGAAGCGUGAGUGACGGUAAUGGGUAAAGAAGCACCGGCUAACUACGUG
rnacentral:rRNA from 1 species